rnacentral:rRNA from 1 species
CCCUUAGAUGUCCUGGGCCGCACGCGCGCUACAAUGAUGAAUUCAACGAGUUUAUAACCUUGGUUGAAAAGCCUGGGUAAUCUUUUGAACUUUCGUCGUGAUGGGGCUAGACCCUUGCAAUUAUUGGUCUCCAACGAGGAAUUCCUAGUAAACGCAAGUCAUCAGCUUGCAUUGAUUACGUCCCUGCCCUUUGUACACACCGCCCGUCGCACCUACCGAUUGAAUGGUCCGGUGAAAUCUUCGGAUUGAGACUUUGAUUUGUUUACUCAAAACGCUGUUUCAAGAAGUUGAUUAAACCUUACCAUUUAGAGGAAGGUGAAGUCGUAACA